CUGUCUUUUACCCCGCACUAGAUCCGUACCGUGGUGCCCCAAGGUAUCUGGUAGAUGUCUUCAUCUCAGUCAGCAAAGCAUCUCACCCACUUUGCUCCAUCCCAUAUCACACUGCUGAUGGCUACUCUCUGAGCCUGGCAAUAAUCUUUCUACCCAUCUAGUUCUCAAGGCAGGUUGCCACCAUGCCAGACAUACAUAUCCCAAUCCAGUGAUGGCCCAACGUCUCUAGCCACCACACACUCUCUUAAAUUCAAUUAAAUCACCUCAUGAAAGAACACACAACACAAUAACCUCUGAUCCAAUAAUAUAAUUUGCUCAUCUAGACAUACAAAGCCCUGUACAUAUCCAUCCCUUAAGAAUAUUCAUAACAACCUGUAAAUACACAGAGUGGAAUCUUAA
rnacentral:lncRNA from 1 species